ACGCUCGACACCUACGGGAGGCAGCAGUUGGGAAUAUUGGACAAUGGAGGAAACUCUGAUCCAGUGACGCCGCGUGAAGGAAGAAGGUCUUCGGAUUGUAAACUUAUUUUGUCAGGGAAGAAAAAUGACUGUACCUGAAGAAAAAGCACCGGCUAACUACGUGCUAGCAGCCGCGGUAAUCNGAGCGGGCUGGCAAGGC
rnacentral:rRNA from 1 species